CGGCACGGGUGAGUAACACGUAUGCAACCUGCCUGCCACAGCCGGAUAAUCGGGAGAAAUUCCGUCUAAUACGGCAUAAUGCAUCGACGGGACAUCCUGUUGGUGCCAAAGGUUGAUUCCGGUGGCGGAUGGGCAUGCGUCGCAUUAGGUAGUUGGUAGGGUAACGGCCUACCAAGCCGACGAUGCGUAGGGGUUCUGAGAGGAAGGUCCCCCACAUUGGAACUGAGACACGGUCCAAACUCCUACGGAAGGCAGCAG
rnacentral:rRNA from 1 species